GGUGCCAACAGGACUAUAAAUUUGCAAGGGGCUAGAAUCUAGUCCUUUUUUUUGUCUGACAUGACAAUGAAGUAGAGUCGUGUUAAUUUGUCGUCUGGAAAUCCUGCUGAAUGAAUUCCAACUAUUGAAGGAAAACCUUAAUCUCUCAAUUGAAGUCUCUUCAACUCUAUACAAUGUUUUGAAGGGGAGCCUAACUGAAAUAUUACUUAACAACUCCAUUGAAGACAAAGCAUUGGAUUGCUUUGACGGGAUUUGAUGGCUUUAUUUAAAGGAUUGUUCCUGUCUGGACUUGAAUGGGGGUAUAUCGACUUACGCAUCCUGCAGGUGACUCUCUAAACUCCACGCCAGACCAAGUGCAAGGAUUACUUGCCAACUACGGAAUCCUUCAACUAUUCAAGGAAUAAUGUAGAUGAGACUGGAGAUGCUUAGGCUGUUUUGGUGGCUUAUUUGGAGUCGAUGCAAGGGAAAACUGACUACGAAAUAUUACUUUACAACGCCAGUGAAGGAAUAAUGGAGAUGCUUGGGCUGGAUUGAUUGAGUUGCUACAAAUGGGGGAUUUCUGAACCGAAAUGACAAAGCAUUGAGUUACUUCGACAGAAUUCGAUGGCUUGAUUUAAAGGACAACUUGCCAGCUAUGAUUUCAAGAUAAAGGGGUGGCAGGUAGCCUAGUGAUUAAAGCGUUGGACUUGUAACCGUAAGGUUGCCAGAUUGAAUCCCUGAGCUGACAAGGUUUUUUCCUGUCUGGAUUUGAAUGGGGUUCAAGACUGCUGCAUCCUGUAGGUCACAUAUGUCAGAGUCAAGGCCCGCGGGCCACAUCCGGCCCGCGAGAAGGUUUUUUACGGCCCCUGGGAUGAUCUUGAUUUAUUAUUAGAACCGGCCCGCAGACCGCAGCAAGCCGGCAGCCCGCAGAUCUUUUACACGCACCAAUACUACAUUUCCCACAAUGCAACGGUGACGCACCGAGCAGUAGGCUGCUUCAUUUCAAUAUUUAUUGGCACAGCAGUCGUCAGCAUCACAGUAAAAUUAACUUUCAGAUACCCAUCAAAAAUGGCAAAACGGAAGGUGGACACUGAGAACCGGGGUUUCAAACAAGGUGGGAGUCGGAGUAUAUGUUCACGGAGGUAGCUGGAAAACCUGUGUGUCUUCUGUGUGGAGAAAGUGUGGCGGUACUGAAAGAGUAUAAUCUGAGACGACAUUAUGAAACGAAACACGCGGACAAAAACAAGAAUA